GUCGAAUCGCUCAAUGGUAGAGCACGAGACUGUGGAUCUCGCGUUGCGGGUUCGAGUCCCGCUUCGACCU
rnacentral:tRNA from 1 species